AUUGAACGCUGGCGGCAGGCCUAACACAUGCAAGUCGAACGGUAACAGGAAACAGCUUGCUGUUUCGCUGACGAGUGGCGGACGGGUGAGUAAUGUCUGGGAAACUGCCUGAUGGAGGGGGAUAACUACUGGAAACGGUAGCUAAUACCGCAUAACGUCGCAAGACCAAAGAGGGGGGACCCUCGUGCCUCUUGCCAUCGGAUGUGCCCAGAUGGGAUUAGCUUGUUGGUGGGGUAACGGCUCACCAAGGCGACGAUCCCUAGCUGGUCUGAGAGGAUGACCAGCCACACUGGAACUGAGACACGGUCCAGACUCCUACGGGAGGCAGCAGUGGGGAAUAUUGCACAAUGGGCGCAAGCCUGAUGCAGCCAUGCCGCGUGUAUGAAGAAGGCCUUCGGGUUGUAAGUAC
rnacentral:rRNA from 1 species